GACGAACGCUGGCGGCGUGCUUAACACAUGCCAGUCGAACGGAAAGGCCCUGCUUGCAGGGUGCUCGAGUGGCGAACGGGUGAGUAACACGUGGGUGAUCUGCCCCUUACUUUGGGAUAAGCCUGGGAAACUGGGUCUAAUACUGGAUAGGACCAUGCUGUAGGUGGUGUGGUGGAAAGAUUAUUUUCGGUAAGGGUUGAGCUCGCGGCCUAUCAGCUUGUUGGUGGGGUAAUGGCCUACCAAGGCGUCGACGGGUAGCCGGCCUGGGAGGGUGGACGGCCACAUUGGGACUGAGAUACGGACCAGACUCCUACGGGAGGCAGCAGUGGGGAAUAUUGCACAAUGGGAGCAAGCCUGAUGCAGCGACGCCGCGGGGGGGAUGACGGCCUUCGGGUUGUAAACUCCUUUCAGCCAUGACGAAGCCCUUGUGGUGACGGUAGUGGUAGAAGAAGCACCGGCUAACUACGUG
rnacentral:rRNA from 1 species